rnacentral:rRNA from 1 species
AUUGAACGCUGGCGGCAGGCCUAACACAUGCAAGUCGAGCGAGCGGCGGACGGGUGAGUAAUGCCUGGGAAUUGCCCAGUCGACGGGGAUAACAGUUGGAAACUACUGCUAAUACCGCAUACGAUUGGCUUGCUCAGGUGGGAUUAGCUAGUUGGUGCGGUAAUGGCUCACCAAGGCGACGAUCCCUAGCGGGUCUGAGAGGAUGAUCAGCCACACUGGAACUGAGACACGGUCCAGACUCCUACGGGAGGCAGCAGUGGGGAAUAUUGCACAAUGGGGGAAACCCUGAUGCAGCAAUGCCGCGUGAGUGAAGAAGGCCUUCGGGUUGUAAAGCACUGUCGGCGAGGAAGCGUUACUCACAGAGGAAGCACCGGCUAACUCCGUGCCAGCCGCCGCGGUAAUAC